rnacentral:lncRNA from 1 species
CGCAUUUAGUUUACCAACAUAUACUAGCUAUAUUGCGCGACUUUGCUCUCACGAGGCAGUUAUGAAUGAUAUGAAAACGCAGGCCUAAGCCCAUGCAGGGUCAACAUGUGUUAGUUGGUGUCAGGACGAUAAUUUUAUAUAUACAAUAUAAUACCCAUAUAUGUUUGUCAUUUACAAGUAUAAUGUCCACUUCAUCAACAAAAUACCCUGCUUUCAUGAUGAAACAUUUGGCUACAGGCAUAAACAGAGUCGUCCUAUACGUAAACUACACGCUAUAGUCUGAAAUUAUACCCAAAACACAGUUUAGGCAGUUAGAUACAUGCCACAUGCUUCUGCGUUCAUCGACCACAAUUUUAUAGUAUAUAGCUAUAUGUACAGUAUAUGCUCAUAUUAAUGUCAUUACCCGCGUACGUAACAUAUUUUGCUUGAAAGCAGCUACAUUUGCGCUCAUUCCUCGAUAUGGCCAGUCAAAUUAUGCCAGUCUGUGGCAGUCUCGCAGAAUACUCUCAUCUUAUAAUCUAACUCCUUGCGGUGAGGCAUAUCCAUGUUUUGUUUUGUUUUCCCCAUGAACCACAUUUGUAAGAUUG